rnacentral:lncRNA from 1 species
GUCUUGGGCUUUCUAGGCUAGGCACAGAGACUUUUACCUCUUGGGUGACCAGGAAGUGCUAGUGGCCUUUUUUCUUGCAGGACAGGUCACCUCAAAGUCAAGGGGGAACAGCACCUGGCUUUGCAGCAGCAGUGACAGGUGGAAGGAUGCAAGAUGGGACAAGAGGUGUGGUGGCCUGUAUGGCCUGAAGGCUUUCUC